CAAAUCCAGGCGGUGCACUGACAAGAGCAUAUUACAAUAAAUGUGGUGGACGGAGUUAUUUGCUCAUUGAGAGCAACGAUACCACCAGCAUUGGACCAGCUACAAGAGCAUGCUUAGAGUAUGGUUUAGAACUUGCAGGAUUGGAAACUUUUGAGGAGUUAAUGUGUGUUAAUGGAUUAUUCACUGUUCCAAACAAAGUUUACACACUCUGGACAUCGGGAUCAUUCUGGCAAAAGCAGAUCUCCCCAGUUUGGUGUGCGUCCAACGCGGCUCUUGAUCCUAAAUUGUACCCGUGGAACCUUGACGGAGCAAAAGUGAAUCAAGCGGGAAGCGGGGGAAUGUAUGUCCAAGUCGUAAUUAAGACAGGUCAACCAUAUUUGAGGAAUACUGUCAAUAGCAAUGUGCUCGGCGGAGUAUUGUGCGAGGGAGUUUUUAAAUAAUGAGAAAGAUAUUUAGAUGGAAAUUUCAAGCGAAAAAAAAAUAUUUAUUAUAAGUUUAUUGCAUAAAACCCCCUAG